rnacentral:rRNA from 1 species
CGCGGUAAUUCCAGCUCCAAUAGCGUAUACUAAAGUGUUGCAGUUAAAAAGCUCGUAGUUGGAUUUCUGGCGGGGACGGCUGGUCGGUCUCGAAAGGGGCUGUACUGUUGUUGGUUCCCGUCAUCCUUGGGGAGAGCGGCUCUUACAUUAAGUUGUCGGCGUCGGGAUCCCUAUCUUUUACUGUGAAAAAAUUAGAGUGUUCAAAGCAGGCUUAGGCCCUGAAUACAUUAGCAUGGAAUAAUAAGAUACGACCUUGGUGGUCUAUUUUGUUGGUUUGCACGCCAAGGUAAUGAUUAAUAGGGAUAGUUGGGGGUAUUCGUAUUCAAUUGUCAGAGGUGAAAUUCUUGGAUUUAUGGAAGACGAACUACUGCGAAAGCAUUUACCAAGGAUGUUUUCAUUAAUCAAGAACGAAAGUUAGGGGAUCGAAGAUGAUUAGAUACCAUCGUAGUCUUAACCAUAAACUAUGCCGACUAGGGAUCGGUGGGUGCAUUUUUAGGCCUCAUCGGCACCUUAUGAGAAAUCAAAGUCUUUGGGUUCCGGGGGGAGUAUGGUCGCAAGGAUGAAACUUAAAGAAAUUGACGG